UGAGGGAGACCGUGCUUUGCCGUGGUUCGGUGCCGACCGUCACGGGCAGGGUGAUUUCUCCCUCUGUCGUGACGGUGUCUCCGGCAAAGCCGAUCAGAGGCACAGGGACCCCCCUAAGUCGGUCAGUUGACAGUCGCAUUCGGGAGAAGGUCGAGUAAAACAAAAUAUUUGUCGAACUUUCAUUAUCAACAAAAAUUCGUUUUACAUCAUAAUUGGCUAUUGUCGCCGACACAACAAC
rnacentral:lncRNA from 1 species